GUUGGAGCGAGGGGAGCCGCCCGCUGACCUUGAGCUUCCCCUGGCCACAACGGGUGACAUUGUUCCCAGUUCUCAGUCGAUAUCAGCCCUGAUAUCAGUUCCCCUACGGUGAACCUGGCACAUGUGGGUUAAAACCAAACACACACAUUCCCAGGUCCCUGGGUCUUAGAUUAUGCUCAUAUGUAAAUGCUUGUUUUUUUAGCCUCUGACUCCCUGAGCUAUAGGGCCAAACAAGUUAGAAAUUGUUCAAGCCCACGUGGCCUCACCCUGGGCUCCCACCAAAGUUGUGUCUAAUCCCAGGACCUGGAAGUUCUCUUAGAGAGAAACUAAUGUGCAAAGAAUAUCAAGAGACCAAAGCUUCCCAGGCCCACUCCUCGGCGUCCUGACCUCAGAGUCUGCCUUCUACCAUGGAGAUAAACAGCCAAGGACACUCAGCUGAAAAAUCCUGUCUCCCUGGAAGCAGCCCAGACACAGGCCCAUGGGAAAACGCUGACCAAGAAGACCACGGCCCCCUCCCCUACCGAAAACCCCAAAUGAAAACCCUUACCCAUUUCUUAAUAGAGAGCCAGCAACUUUUGGGGCACUGGCCCUUGCUUUGCUCCCUCUGCCUGGCAAAGUAAAGCCUUUCCUUUUUCUCCCAAGACUCAGUUCUCUUUACUUGGAUUGGCAUCGGGAUCAGAGACCAAACUUUCAGUAACAUCAUAAAAACGUAAAAAGGAAGAAAGUGAGGGUCUGUGGCUCCCCAGCUGACUACCGAGGCCUCAGUGAAUCUCUGCACAGGUCUGCUUCCUGCCGGGAGAAGCUGGACUGCUGUAGGAGACAGCGAGAGGAGAACGGUUCCCUCCUCAAGGCCUGCCUGAAAGUGUGUCUGCUCCCGAUCUGACCUGUGCAUCUCCACAGCCAGCCUGGUUUGUGUGGGGGCUGAAGCUGGCUCCCCAGAGGCCUCAGGCCCACCGGCCUCCUGCCAGCCUCCCAGGUCUGCAGAGAACUCCCUGUCCUCUGCCUGCUGUCCUCAAGGCCAGUGCUUGCAGGUAGAGGCUGUUCCUCUUCUGUGACCUCAAAAAUGAGUCCCUGUGGGCUCUCCUGGCCCAAGAUAAGGAGAGUGGGAAAAGCUGCUGAAACAGAAGGGGAAUUUUUAUGAGCAGCUGAUUCUCCCGAUUAUAAAAUCAUAUACAAUGUGAGAGCCAGAAGGAGACUUAAAGAUUGACUAGCCCAACCAUCUGGCUUUGAAGUGGAGGCAACCAAGACCCAGAAGGAUUAAGGGACUCGCUUAAAGAAGAUUUCUUGAUACCUGCUCACUAACACCUUACUAGAGACACCUUACGCAUCAAGUAUAGUAGGCAGACGGUGGGGAAAGAGCACUUUCCCAGAAAACGUCUCUCAGGUCCUGUUUGUCCCUGUCCCUUCAGCAGCUUGCACAGAGAGGGCUUUGUAAAUGCUUUGUGUUGAGAUUGCCCAGUGCUGUGACUCUGCAUUUACCCAUAAUUAGCUCGAUAAGUAUUAUUAAAUAAUGACUGUUAUGAUAGUUAAAAUUCUUGCAUUGGCUACAUGCCAGGUGUUUCCAUAUAUUGUCUCAUUUAAUCCGUGUAUCAGCCCUGUGUGGUAGGUAAUGUCACUACCACCAUCUCAGAGACGAAGGGACAAAAGCAUCGAGAGGUUUGAUACUUCCCACUGGCACCGAGCUGAGAAGUCAUGCAGUUAAGGUUCAAACUCGGGUGGCUGGUUGUGAGCCCAUCCUUAACUUCCGUGCUGUCUUGCAGAAGUCAGUUGUGCCUUGCACUGUGCUGGAAGUCGUAGAAGACAGUACAUUUUUCGAGAAGUUGACUUUUUCUGGGGAAAACUAGGACAUGCAUAGCAGCAGAGAUUUGCUUUGGGACAAUGGUGGAGGAAGGGACCACGGGAGUGCUGGGACCGUUUUCCCUGCUCAUGCCUUUUAUGUCCAUCUUUGGGACAGUUCACCCUGUGAAUGAGGAGGAGGGACAGGCUUGGAGAAUGACGAGAGGCUGCUACUGCCCCAAGGGAGAGUAGGAGGAGCAAGAAGGGGAAAGCCAGGGCUGCAGAGUGUAGUGUGGGGGCUUCUCUUGUGUCCACAUGGGUGUGGGAGUGGGCUGGCUGUCCUCACUUCUGGGUUUACGUUUUUCUGAGUCUGUAGCAUAUCCAAAGAAGAUGAGUUAGAUGGUCUGGAAGCCAUGCAAUGUGGCUAUAAGUUGUUCUUUCAGAAAUAGUUUGGUGAGUGUCUACUACAAUUCCACUGGUGCCCCAGAGCCUGUGGAUAUCAUCAGCGAUCAACAAGCUGUGGUCCUCACCCUCAAGUGAAGGCUCUAGAGAAGGUGAUUACAGUGCAGGGAGAAAAGACCUGUGGUGGGGAUGAGUCUGGGUGCUAUGCCAAAUCCUGACAAUAUUAAGAUGAUUAGGGAGCUUUCCCUUAAGGAAAAGACUCUUUGCCUAGGAGAAGACAGACGUUGGGAGGAAAUGAGAAUUGGCGUCUUGGAGAGAAGGGCCAACGUGAAAGUGAGCCAUGAGCCUGUGAUUCCUGGGACAGCUUGGGUAGGCGGGGUUGGGCACUGGUUGUCCCUGUUGUACAGGAGAGUCCACACUGGCUGUGAGGAAGUAGUGAGAAAGGUUACGGUUCCUCUGAUGUUUUAUAAUACUCUGUCCCCAUGUGAGUAGACAAAUGGGGUCAGAGAUCUAGGCCUUCAAGGAGGGUGGGAAGGAAUCCUUUGCAGCUUCUCACUCCUUGCAUCUCCCAUGAUGUGGAGUGAAGUAUAAAUGAACAGAGGGCCCACUAGAGCUUAGGGAGCAAUGCCGGGCCACUCUAGGGCAUGGGGAGAAGGGAGGACUUGUUUAACUGUGGGUGACCUCCUCAGGCUCGACUCCUGCUAGGCCCCUGAUGUCCUUGGAGCUCACAUAGGUUGUAUUCUAGAAGGGCCUCAUCAACCUUCAAGCUCCUAAUUAUCUUUCUCGGCUUGCUCCCUCUCCUGCUCACAGGAGUGAGUAUGUUCUACAUAGGCCAGUGCACAAGUGUGAAUGCCAGGAAGAAGACAUGCUUACUGGAUGCAGAUACUGGAGACUUUCUAUGCCUGAACAUCCCAGAACUUCCACAUUUACCUCGGCUGUUGCUCAGACUGCUCUGUCUGGAGCACCUCUCUGCAGGUCAACAAAAUACCUAUGUGCAGAUUGUGCCCUGCGGAAGGGCACCAAGCCCAAGAAUCAAGGGAGGGCUGGCAUCCCGCUACAACCUACACCCUGGGUACUUUGGAGGGAGCUGCGUUGUCUUAGAGGUGGGACUUGUCCUCAUUUGAACAAAGGAGCCUAUAGCUAGCUGCCCCGCUUCCCCACUCCCCAGCUGCGUGAAUCCUGCUCAUCUGUCAGGAACCAAAUCUAGUCAUACGUCACUUGUUCCGUCCACCACCCUCAACACUGCAUCAUGCAGAAUUAAUUGUUCCUCCCUUGGCUUUCUCAGAGCACCUUGUUUAUAAUUGUUCUCGUCACAGCUUUGAGGGCAUAUAGUGCUAGGUGGACAGUUAGGUACUACUUGGAGGUAUUACCCCCUGUCUUUGCUGGCUGCCAGUAUUGUUGUGGAGAGGCUGGUUUCAUUCUAAUUGCCAUUCCUUGGUAAGGUGUCUUUUCUCUCUAGAUGCUUAUGAGAUUCUCUUUCCAUUUUGGUGUUCAUAGUUUCAUUAUGAUGGGAUUAUUUUCAGAUUUCCUUUUAUUUAUUUUAUAUGGGAUUUUUUGAAAUCCUGAUGUUUGGAAAAUCAUCAGUUAUUAUCUCUGAAUACUGGCCCUUCAUCGUCCCUCUAUUGUCUCCUUCUAGAUUUCCAAACAGACGUAUAGUAGACAUUCUUCCUUGAUUCUCCAUAUGUCUCUAACCAUUUAAAAAAAUAUUUCCAUUGCUUUAUAUCUCUGGGCUGCAUUUGGAAUGCUGACCUCCAUAUUCUAGUUCACUGAUCUACACUUAAGUGUGUAUAUGUCUGAUUUCACACAAUGAAUCUGUAAACUACUUGAGACAAGGGACUGCAUAUAUUUCAUCUUAGUUUAGUGUCUGGGACGCAGUCAAUGAUCAGCAGCAUGUGCUGAAAUGGUUGGCUUGCAUGGCCUAGGGGUGCAAUCCGAGGUAGAAACACCUGCUGAGGUGCCAACUGGUUCUCUGUUGACAAAGAAGGAGGCUGUGGGCUCACUGCUUACGCCAAUGACAGACAGAACUGGUUGGGCUAUACUGCUCCUUCUGUAGUUACAGGGCAGGUUCAGCCUGGCAGGAGCACGGGGCAGGCUUGCCUACCAACUGUGGCCAAGCCAGGCUCUCUUUUUCAAACAAAACUCCUCAAUAUCAUCCUGCUUAUGCAAUAAACUCGGGGCAGGAAGUGAGACAUAAUGCUAAGUUACAAAGCUGGGGAAGCCACUUUUGAAUCGGGUUACCUCACCCAGUUUGAUGUAGCUACAAUCUCGACAUUGCCUCUCACUUAGAAAUAUGUGAAGAAAGGUCACCGUCAAGAAAAAGGAGUUGAGCCAGUCUUAGAGGGCUUGUUCAGACUGGUAACUGGGACAAGGGCAGGCACACAGUGUGUGCCACAGGCCCUUAGAAAGACCUGCUGCUACUGUGGAUCAUUGUAGGCCAUCUUUUAAGUCUCAUUAAAAGGAAGAUUGAUCCCUGCUGCCUUUAUGCAACAGAUGGCUGCCCCUCAGUUCUUGUACCCAGCUGCUGGUGGCCACAGUCACACACAAGCAGGGUCACAGUCCAGAAAAGACACGCACAACUUCAGAGGGUUUUCCCGGAGUGUUUUUGGCAAGGGGGGUGAGGGAUGGUGGGAUGGGUGAGUCUCUCCCUGUGGCAUUCGGCAUCUGGCAUUUGGCCAUCCUUCAGUGGGAGGGUCUUGGGGAGAAUCACGAAAAUCAGUCUUCAGGGUAGUUCUACACAAGGGCAUGUGGUGUCUGCUGCUGAUUCUGAGAUUCCACCCACUGAAGAAGGAGUCUCAGAAUACGGUGAAUUCCACGCCCAGCGUAUGUAAUUACCAGGCCGAGCCGCAUCUUCUCCAGGUUGUCAGUGCUGCUGUAGAGCAGUUCUAAAGCCACAAAGAAAUGUUUGGCCCACGUUCAAGAGCAGGCUGCCUGAAAUAGACGGAGGUUCUGCAACCCCUGAUCUGAACUCCUGGCAGGCAUGCUGAGGGUAUCCACAGUGAUCCAAAGAAUGCCAUCAAACUACGUAAUUAGAUUAAGUGGAAUUAACUUUAUUAAUAUUAAUAAAACAUAUUAAAGAGCAUACAGUUGAGGUUUCUGAUAGAGGUAAACAUUACAGGAUGACUGUCAAAGCCUGAAAGUCAGGGACAUUGACUGAAUUCAGUCCACGUAAAACAUAAACCCACAGCUGGAUGAUUCCCCCAGUCCCACGGGGCCCCCCAACUCUUAGGUCAGCACUGAAGAACAGAUGGCAGCACCGGUAGGUCCAGCUCUGAUUUCCUCUGCCUGGAAGUCUUCUGCUCGUAUCUCAGCCCGGGACUUCAGCUAUUCCUGGGGGCAUCUGGGCCUGUGGUGGAAAAUAAACUUCAUCUGAACCAUUAAAAUUCAUAAAGCUGUUGACAGUUCAGAUGCAAAAAGCUCUUGAGAUGUCUCUGUGCAGGCGAUUCUUGUCUGUUUUGUGUGAAAACAAUCACACCUGUGGUGAAAAUUCAAUAUACUUGUAAAAUCGACUCUCUCGUGCCAAGACCCUGUGACUUAGUGUCCCAGAAGCAAGGUAAAAAGUAAAUGAGAUAGCAGCGGUGAAAGUGCUAGACUGAAGAUAAUAAAUGUCACUUCCAUCUUCUCUUACAGCUCUCUAGGGAAAAGAUGUGGAAGGAAAUUUGAGAUAAAGUUCUUUGAGUUUCAAAAAUUGAGCUAGGAGUUACGGCAUAAUGGUUUCAAUAUUAGAAAUCUAGACAGAAAACUAAAGAAGUUGUCAUUGGUCAGAGAGGACUUCUUCCUCGCCAUAAACAUUCUGGGACCACCAAGGUGGUCUCUGACGAUCUCUUCACUUUUUGAGGAAAAGCAACCACCUACCUGCCUUGGAUAGAAUCAGCAGCUCCCCCAAAUGAAGCCCAACCAACCCCCCCAAACACCUCUUUGAGCACAGAGCAGAGCAGACAUGAGGACCCUGCCCGGGUCACACCUCCCUCCAGGGUCUGGAAGAGAUGUAGACAGAGUGAUCUGUGAAGGUUGAGCAGGUGCCCGUUCUAACAAGGUCAGUACCACAGAAAAACAUGAACCUAAUGUUUCUAGAGAUUUAGACCUCUCAAGAGAGCCCUAAAUUUUAGAUUUUUACGUGGUACCUUCUAAUUUUUAAACAUUGGUGUUUGAAAAAAAACCAAACCAUCAUGUGGGCCAAAUAAACGUGACUAUGGGCUGGAUCUGACCUGCUGGUCGCCACUUUGCACCUCAAAUAGAUAAGCUCUAUGAAAGUUUGUUGAGGGCUACCUUGUACCAUGCAUUGUCCUAGAUGCUCUGCACACCGAGGCAAGGAGAACCCUGUGUCUGCUCCUGGAAAGUUCAUAACCCAGAGCGGGAGAAAGACUGACCCAGAAACAGGUCACCUGAGUGCACUGUGGAGCGUGGCCUGGGCUGCAGAGGAGGGCAGCGAGGUCACCUGUGGAGCAUGCAUGUCACGGAAGGCCACCUGGAGGCAAUGAUGCUGGAGGAGCUGAGACGAAUCUGAAUCAAAUCUUGCGAGUUGACCAGGUGAAGGUGAAUGGGGUAAAGAGAUAAGGAUAUGCCAGGAAAAGGUCACAGCAGAGCCGAGGAUGAGACUGUUUGGCCUGUGGAGACCCCUACACAGCUCAGUGAGUGACUCAAGGUGAGGCUGGGGAUGGAGGGACUGAGGAGGACUUUUCAUAGUAAUAUGUUUGGGCUUUAUCCCAAGGGCAGUGGGGAGCCUGUGGAAUGCUUUAGGCAGAUGGAGAUAUGGUGAGAUUUGUGUUUUAAAACCAUUCUUUUAGCAGCUGUGUGGACCAUGAAUCUAAAGGGGAGAAGACUGGCAUCAGGGAAAUUCCCAGGAAGCCACGUGGUAACACAGCAAGAGAUGGUGUGGGCAUGAGGUUGAGGUGGAGAGCAGGGUGAGAAUUUGAUAACUGUUGAGGACAUGGAGAUUGAAGGAGGGGAUGAAAGGGACUGAGUCAGAGAUGACUUCCAGAUUCUAGACCCAAUGAUGGUUGCUGGUGGUUAGGGUGACCAUCCCUGUUUGCCUGGGACUGCUCUGUUAAGACUGAGAGUUCCAAACACUGGGAACCCCCUCAGCCCAGGGCAAAUAUGGUGGGUUGGUCACUCCAAUGAUGCUUCUGCAGCCAACAUGGGGGAUAGUAGAAGUUAUAAGUUUGGGAGGCUGAGGAGGUUAUGAGUUGGUUUUGAGCAUAAUGAAUUUGAAGUACCAGUGGACAUCCAGAUGAGGAUAUCCAGUAAGCACUUGGAAUAUGAGUCUAUAGUUCAAGAAUAGGAGAACUUUGACUUGGAGAGAGUGGGUUUAGGGGCCAUCAGCCUAAAUAGGGGUUGUUUAGGACCAUAAAAGUGGGUUAAAUCAUCCAGGAAGAGACGGUAGCAUGAAAAGGGAAGUAGAUCAAGAAUGAAACUCUGGAGAAUGAAACAUUGGGAACGCCAAUAGGGAAAGAAGAACCUGAGAAACAGACUGAGAAGGAAUAGCUAGAGGAGUGAAGGGGGACAGACUGGACGUGGAGUCUCGGAAGCCGAGUGAGGAGGAUCUCAAGGCCUGAGCAGUCAUCAGGUCAGAGGCAAGACACAUGCUCAGUAUCAUGAAGAGACAAGACUGUGCCUCCCCACUGGUGAUCUUAGCUGCCGCCUCUCAGUGUUUUGAUGGGUAGAAGCCGGUUACUCCUGGGGAGGUGUGGAUGUGAGUUGAGAAAAUAGAGACAGUGGCUACCGUCUAACCACUUGAGAAACUUGAGAAAAAAGGGAAUGAGGGAGAGCAAUAGCCAGCAGAUCAUGUGUGGUCAAGGGCGAGUCCUGUUCUUUAAGAUGGGCGAGAACUCGACAAGCUUUUAAACUGAGAGGGAAAAACUGGAUCAAAGAGGAAAAUUAAAGACACAGGGCCAAGAGAGGUAAUUAAUGGGUCAGGGCCCGUGGGAAGAGGAAAUGAUAUGGGAUGGACUCAAAGCCACAGAGGAAGAUGUUGGCCUUAAACAGGGGAGGGUUGGACAUGACACACCGCCUGAGACUGAGGGGGAGGGCAGGUUAGGGUGAUGCUAAAGGAAAGGAGAAAUGAUAGCCCAGAAAUGGGAAGGCAUAAAACCAAGAGUUGUGGUUAAUGUCAGCAAGAAGAGAGUAAAAAAUGAAGAAGCAUUGAAGGAAAUGACGGACAUAUUGGAGACAUGCCUCAGCCAUGACUUUAAGAGGAAUGGUUAUAGUCUAGAUUUCAGAGCAUUUUCAGAUAACAGUGGACUGUUUUUGGAGAACUUUAGUAAAUAGAUAUUCCAGAAGUGACUGAACGCAGGCUUUUUGAUUGAGAGGAUUAUCCAAUUAUUCCCUUUAGAAUUGAAGGAUCUGAGUCAGAUUCAAAUAGCACGCAUGCACACUACUAUGGACUGAAUCUUUCUGUCCUCCCAAAAUUCCUAUGUUGAAACCCAAUCCCCAGGGCAAUGGUAUUAGGAGGUGGGGCCUUUGGAAAGUGCUUAGGUUGUGAGGGUGGAGCCCUCAUGAAUGGGAUUAGUGCCUUUAUGAAAGAGAGCCCAGAGAGCGCCCUUGUCCUGUGUGCCAUGUGAGGUCGCAGCAAAAAGACAGCCGUCUAGGAAGCGGGCCCUCACUGGACACCGAAUCUGCUGGAGCCAUGAUCUAGGACUUCACAGUCUCCAGAACUGCAAGACAUAAAUUCCUGUUGUUUAUAAGCUCCCCAGUCUGUGCUAUUUUUGUUAUAGCAGCCUGAAUGGAUGAAGACACAUUCAUACACACAUGCACAUUGUGCAAACAAUUUAUGACUUGCUUGGACUCCAAAAUAGGGAUUAAAUCUCUGAAAGUAUUGUUUUCAGUCACAGUCAGGCUGAAAAGUUUUUGCUAGGUGGGAGGCUAGUGCACAGGUACAGAAAGGCAUGGUGAAAAUUUUUUUUCCAAUUAAACUAGUGUAUUCAGUUAGAUUGAGCUUAGAAAUCAUUGAGGAGCAGCCCAAAGCUGAUCUGGAGACACGUGCUUUAAGAGGAGAUUACCCAAGGCAAUGAAGCCGGGCCCUGCUCCUUAGAGUGUGCGGGGAGCCACAGCAGCAUGAAGCCUAUCAGAGAUCAGUGCCGGCAGCCAGCCAGCAGGGAGGUGGCCACCUGCCUUCGGGUCAGUCUAGCCCACAGCCCAGUGCCUCCCCUGGCUUUUCAUUAGUGCUGCUCAUUUUGAUCGGCUACUAGGAGCCAUGUAGAUGGUGCUUUCCAGGGUAUGGACUUUAUCUUCUGCUGCUAUUGUUUUCCCAUUUUUAAGAUAGUUUUUUUCUGGCAUAAAAGCAAUGUAUGCCCUUUGUAGACAUUUUGGUCAAUGCAGGAAAGUACAUCUAAGACCAAAAUAUCACCUGUGUGUCAAGCAGUGUCACCAUUUUGGCAUAUUUCCUUCUUGUCUUUCCAUUGUGGUUUCCCAGAUGAAGAGGACUGAGCUCUUCUUUUCUGAGAAAAGCAGAUAAUUCCAGGACGGGAAAAACUUACCUGGCAGAGGCACCAGAAUAUCUGGGUUCUAAUCCCAGCUCCACCACUGCAUAGCUCGUGGUCUUGGCCACUGCCAGCCCUCCUGGGGCUGCCUUCUGGUUUUGAGAUGACGGCAUCAAUUGGCCAACCUCUAGGGCCUCUUCCAGCACUCGGUUGUCAAGGGCUGUGAUGUUUGGACUCCCCAGAAAGUCGUGGUUUUGGACAUGAAUUCUUCCUGAGCAGUUAUAGCUUCCCCUGAAAUCCAGAGUCUUCUGAAGCUGUGACUGUCGGAUUUCAAAGGAGGGCUUUCCGAGGUGGUGUGACUACUCUCCUAUCCUUUUGUUAAAUCCUGGAAAUUAAAAAAUGCUCUGAGUGAGGAUGCAUUUCAGUGCAGGGCAUAUGUCAAAGAAAGAUCAUCCAGUGAACUGGGUAAAGCCAGAAGGCUCCUUCAUUCUAGUUAGUGAUUGAAUUAAAAAAUCAGAACUUAAAUAAGCCUAUUAAUUAAAUCUGGCUCAGAAUUCCCAAACUGUGUUCUCAGAACAAAUGUGUGUUCUCUAGAAAAAGAGAGCAGUGGUCAACUAAGUUUAGAAAAGAUUAAAUCAAAUUCAAGGGGUUUCUUUGCUAUAGGAAUUCUUAGAACUUGAGAUAUGCUUACACGCAUUGCGAACCCCAGGGGGGGAUGUGGAGUAAGCAUCCUACACUGGCCUGAUCAUGGAACUGUUUCGUCACGGCACACGACUUCACAUCCCAAGAAUAUCAGUUUUCCGUAGAACACAGUUUGAGCGAUACUGUUGUAGUUCCUAGAACUAGAAGUGCUUUUGACGGCACCGUUAUGGAUCUCUCAAUAAUUAUACCUGACUGCUCUGCUCAUGAGGUGAUAUCCUGGGCUGAGUUUUUAAAACCCAUAACCUUCUUGACAUUUUUACUAUAUUUAAGUUUUAUAAAUUCUUGCAUUUGCAGGACAACUUAAAUUUUCUCAAAAGUAUACUUAUCCGCUGAGUGCUGACCUGUGCCUGACUCUGUACCAGCUGUCUUAUCUCUGAGUUUUGCCUCUAUCAAUCUCUGUG
rnacentral:lncRNA from 1 species